rnacentral:rRNA from 1 species
UACAGAGGGUGCAAGCGUUGUUCGGAAUUAUUGGGCGUAAAGGGAGUGUAGGCGGUUCGGAAAGUCUUCUGUGAAAUCUACGGGCUUAGCUUGUAACGUGCAGAGGAAACUACCGAGCUUGAGUGUCGGAGAGGAUAGGGGAAUACCCAGUGUAGAGGUGAAAUUCGUAGAGAUUGGGUGGAACACCAGUGGCGAAGGCGGCUUGCCAGAACGCGCUCGACGGUGAGGGAUGAAAGCUGGGGGAGCAAACCGG